rnacentral:tRNA from 1 species
ACCUGGCUGGCUCAGUCGGUAGAGCAUGGCACUCUUGAUCUUGGGGUCGUGAGUUCGAGCCCCACGUUGGGUG